rnacentral:rRNA from 1 species
CCUACGGGAGGCAGCAGUGAGGAAUAUUGGUCAAUGGGCGCGAGCCUGAACCAGCCAAGUCGCGUGAGGGAAGACGGUCCUAUGGAUUGUAAACCUCUUUUGUCGGGGAGCAAAAGACGCCACGCGUGGCGUUCCGAGAGUACCCGAAGAAAAAGCAUCGGCUAACUCCGUGCCAGCAGCCGCGGUAAUACGGAGGAUGCGAGCGUUAUCCGGAUUUAUUGGGUUUAAAGGGUGCGCAGGCGGAAGAUCAAGUCAGCGGUAAAAUUGAGAGGCUCAACCUCUUAGAGCCGUUGAAACUGGUGUUCUUGAGUGAGCGAGAGGUAUGCGGAAUGCGUGGUGUAGCGGUGAAAUGCAUAGAUAUCACGCAGAACUCCGAUUGCGAAGGCAGCAUACCGGCGCUCAACUGACGCUCAUGCACGAAAGUGUGGGUAUCGAACAGGAUUAGAUACCCCUGUAGUC